CAUAUAUGCUGCCUCUUCCUAAGUUGCUUAGAAAAUGGGUACAAAAAACGUCAAGGUCUUCAUCUGGAUGAGUCUGGUAGUUGGUCUUCUCCUAGUGUCUUGUGAGGUUUCAGCUGUUAAGGACUUGGCUGAAAAUACACAGGUGCAGACAACGGAGAACAAUGGAGUAAAAGACCGUAGAUACGGGGUAUCUCUUGUUGGUAGGCUGUGUGGUUCAAAAGGUUGUUGUGAAUUUGCAGAAGGUCCUAGGAAUGGUUAUGUUUGCACAGGAUGUUGCAAAUAAAUUUGCUGCGCAAACGGAAGCUUCAAAAUGUUCUGUCAAACUACUACUCUACUGGUUCUCUAGACAAUCCUAAGCCUUGUCAAAUGAAUAUGUAUUAAUAUAUGCGAUUCACAGUGAUUUAUCAUAAUCAAGUAUCAUUAUGUACGACCGCAAGUACUUGUCAAUUUUAUGUAUAUAUUACUAUUAUACUAUUAUAAAUGGAACUCCCCUUAGCUGUA